rfam:TPA: Bos taurus chromosome 9, whole genome shotgun sequence.
CUGUGGCUUAGUUGGUUAAAGCACCUGUCCUAGUAAACAGAAGAUCCUGGGUUCAAAUCCCAGUGG